ACUUGGAACUGCUGGAGGCAAAGUAAGUUUCUAGUUGCUGUUUAUGUCUGUAUUCCUUUGUCUUGAAGUCCUUGUACUAAGUGAUGCAAGUGUUUACAAUCCAUAGACUUGAUAGUACAAUUUCCUCAAUUUGAAAUUCAAUGCACAGAUAAUAUUACAAAUCCUUUCCCUCAAAGCGAAGAGCUUUUAUAAUGUUCAACUUAAACUUGACUCUCAGAGAGUGACUUGUAUAAGGAUGAGGCUCUUUCCACCUAAUUUUAGAUAAAUAAAUGCUAUAACAAAUGAUUCCUUUCUGUUUGGUAUCUUAAGUUCCCAUGUGAAGAUUUUAUAACAGGAAUGAGUGAAUAUAUAUUGUUACUAAUUGAUGCAAAUUAUAGCAAGCUGCAAUUGUCCGAGGUCAAAUUUUUUCCCUCCGGUCUUAGCAUUUUUCCAGCAUCGGUCGCAUACUAUAGAGUUGUCUUUUUCAUGAUUCAUGAUUCAUGUGGCUGAUAGAGAUGGCAGAGGUGGUGGAUCAUUUUCACUUACAUUGUUCUGAUGUUUUGCUCUUGUAGUUCUUCAUUUCUGUUUCUGUUGUUGGCUGGGGCAAAUAGCUCAUCUCACUAAAAUAUUACUCUCUGAUUUGGUGGCUAUGGGGUUUGGAUAAGAGUGGUAUAGGUUUCUAGAAUUGAAUCCCUGUGCUCUGUUUUGUUGUGCUUGUAAAGCAAAAGGGUACUAGCCACUUUAGUUAGGCCUAGGUGGCAAUUUAGUUGGUCCUCAGUCAUAUUGUGAUUGCAAAAUUGUUUCUUGGCCUUGUUUCAAGUUUAUGGUUUCAUGAUAUUAGGAAACCACUCCUUUUUUAUUUUCAACAAAAUGCUUUGUUAAUAAAAUAUAUUCAACUUA
rnacentral:misc_RNA from 1 species